rnacentral:rRNA from 1 species
UUGAACGCUGGCGGCAUGCUUUACACAUGCAAGUCGAACGGUAACAGCACUUCGGUGGCUGACGAGUGGCGAACGGGUGAGUAAUACAUCGGAACGUGCCUAGUAGUGGGGGAUAACUACUCGAAAGAGUAGCUAAUACCGCAUGAGAUCUAAGGAUGAAAGCAGGGGACCUUCGGGCCUUGCGCUACUAGAGCGGCUGAUGGCAGAUUAGGUAGUUGGUGGGAUAAAAGCUUACCAAGCCGACGAUCUGUAGCUGGUCUGAGAGGACGACCAGCCACACUGGGACUGAGACACGGCCCAGACUCCUACGGGAGGCAGCAGUGGGGAAUUUUGGACAAUGGGCGCAAGCCUGAUCCAGCAAUGCCGCGUGCAGGAUGAAGGCCUUCGGGUUGUAAACUGCUUUUGUACGGAACGAAAAGCCCUCUUCUAAUACAGGAGGGUCAUGACGGUACCGUAAGAAUAAGCACCGGCUAACUACGUG